rnacentral:rRNA from 1 species
UCAGACGAUGCGUCAUGCAUAUCAAUAAGCGGAGGAAAAGAAACUAACAAGGAUUCCCCUAGUAACGGCGAGUGAAGCGGGAAGAGCUCAAAUUUGAAAUCUUAAAGGGUUUCCCUUUACGAAUUGUAGUUUAAAGAAGUGUUUUCUGUUGAGGUUUUGGUAAAAGUUCUUUGGAAUAGGACAUCAUAGAGGGUGAGAAUCCCGUAUUUGACCUUUACUUUCAACUUUGUGAUACACUUUCAAAGAGUCGGAUUGUGUGGGAAUGCAGUCCCAAAAUGGGUGGUAAAUUUCAUCUAAAGCUAAAUAUUGGCGAGAGACCGAUAGCGAACAAGUACCGUGAGGGAAAGAUGAAAAGAACUUUGAAAAGAGAGUUAAACAGUACGUGAAAUUGUCAAAAGGGAAGCGUUUGACACCAUGUGUUGUUUUUCUGAAAAUCAAUUAAAGAACUGUUUAUGCUAAGCUGUUUAGACUUUAUCAGCUAAUCUGUUUAGUUUUGAGCUUUUCUUUAAUGCACUUUUCAGUUAACAAGUCAACAUCAAUUUCUUUUGCUGUAAAAAAGCUUGAGGAAGGUGGCUUGAGAUUCGUCUUAAGUGUUUAUAGCCUCUUGCCUAUGCAGUCGGAGAGAUUGAGGUCUGCAGCGUAGAUCCUUCGGGGCUAAAUGCAUUUGUGCUAAGUUAUAGCAUUUUAUAGACAACUUGUUGACUAUGAUUUGUCUUGUAGCUUACUCGCUUAUGUUAUUUUACCUACGCUUAGGAUGUUGAGCGCAUGUCUCUCUCU